GGCUAUUAACUUUGCUUAUUUUCUUUUUCUUGGACUUUCCUUCCUGUAAGAUUUGUGUUUUCCAACUAAGCAGCUGACAGAUCCAUUGACCCAAAAAAUUCUAACAAUGCUAAUAUUUUCUUUGAAAAUUUCUUCUCAUGGCCCUCUUGUUCACUGUGGCACAUUCUUUGUGACUUUUUUUUAUAUCAUACUCAUUGAUCUGUUUAUUCUGUUUUUUUCUUGCCUGGUUAUUACAUUCUGCCAUAUAUGUAGAGUUACAAGAUUAUAUUUUUUUGUCAACCUUUCCAUUUGGACUGCCUGAAUGCUGCAUUCUGUUUGUAAAUGAAAUAUGUUGUUAUAUGGAAAUAACAGGACUUUGAUGCAUUAAGCCCUUGUUGUGUGUGUUCGAUGUGAUUCACGGAUAUUGAUACUAUGUUACUUAAGAACAUGUGUCAAAAGUUAGCCAGUAGUGUCUGUAAUGCUUAAUACUUAAGGCUUUGAUCUUGUUCUAUUAGCCAUGUGAGUUUCAAGUGUUUGUUUAUUGGAGAUGACUUUUGAUGCAUUAGAAUCCAUGUCGACUCAAAUGUUAUAGAGAAUCUCUCUCUCUCUCUCUCUCUUUUUCUUGCUGACUCAUUGAAAGUGACGGUUUGGUCUUUAUUCAGGUGACGAAGAUUGCGCUUUUGGCUAUUUCCUCAACAACAGGCUAAGAAAUGUAGAAGGCGG